CUUGCACAAAGAAACUACAACGCAGCACACUGUUCAACUCGUAACACUGUAGAGCGGGCAUUUGGUGUACUGAAGAGGCGUUUCCAUUGUCUACAUGGGGAAUUGCGAAUGGCACCUGACAGAGUGUAUAACAUCAUCUGUGCGACUGUAGUGCUGCAUAACAUAGCGAGGGAUCUCCGGCUACCUGAGCCUGAAGGUGAGGAUAUCAGAGAUGACAAUCUCAAUGAACUGGAGGACAGAGAAGAUUUAGAGGAGCAGAAUGGAACUGGUCGAUAUGUGCGUCAGAUUUACGCUGACAGGAUUUUCAAUGUCUGAAACGACAACAAAAAUCAUGUUGCCUGUCUUUACCUAUUAGGUUUAAAUGAGUAGCAAACAACUUAAUAAAUAUAUAAAUUUAUUUUUUUAAGGUUUCUCAAGUGACAUACUGUUCAUUCAAUAAAUUAUUCAAUAAAUUACA